rnacentral:rRNA from 1 species
UCCUGACCUCGGAUCAGACGUGAAUACCCGCUGAACUUAAGCAUAUCACUAAGCGGAGGAAAAGAAACUAACCAGGAUUCCCUUAGUAACGGCGAGUGAACAGGGAAAAGCCCAGCACCGAAGCCUGCGGCCGUUUGGUCUCUAGGCAAUGUGGUGUUCAGGUCUGCUCGCGGAGAUGCCGCUCCACCCUAAGUCCUGUAAUGAGUAAGGUUACUUGACUUGGCCCGUAGAGGGUGAAAGGCCCGUGAGGGUGGAGGCGCAGAUUGGUCGGUGUCUCUAUGAGUGGACCUUGGAGUCGGGUUGUUUGUGAAUGCAGCCCAAAGUGGGUGGUAAACUCCAUCCAAGGCUAAAUACUGGCACGAGUCCGAUAGCGAACAAGUACCGUGAGGGAAAGUUGAAAAGUACUUUGAAGAGAGAGUAAACAGUGCGUGAAACCGCUCAAAGGUAAACGGGUGGAGUUGAACUGCAAACUCCGGGAAUUCAACUGGUGAGUGUGAUGUGAGCUUGGCGCACGGUUGUAUGUUCGGGUCUGCUUAACUGCAGGUUCCUGCCUCUGGUGGGGAUGCGCGUAUCACUUGUCAAGUGUUGUGCGCCCGGGCCGUGUCGGACUGUCUUGCCAGUGCACUUUCUCGGAGUAGUCACCACGACCGGCGUUGCUGUCUUGCUGUUGCGGUUAAACCGGCCUUGUAGGGUCCUCGUGAUCUUGCUUGGUCGGGAUGGCAGGUGACCCGUUGUGUACUCUGUGCGCCUCGGGUGUAAUCGCUGACUGCAUCAGUUUUGUGCGGUACGUCGGAGACGGCGGCUUGUAGUGCGUGCGUGCGUGCCCUGUGCGCUGGCGGCGCUGAGUCUGGUUGUCAUGUUGCUUGUGAAUGCAGGCCUGGCGAUGGCUCGGUGUUGUUCGGUGUGCGGUUGCGUGCGUGGCACAUUAAAGGGCCAACAGUCUGUGGUGUAGUGGUAGACUAUCCACCUGACCCGUCUUGAAACACGGACCAAGGAGAGUAACAUGUGCGCGAGUCAUUGGGCGUUACGAAACCCAAAGGCGCAGUGAAAGUAAAGGUUCGGCUUGUCCGGACUGAGGUGAGAUCCUGUCGUUUCUCACGCGUGGUACCACCAAGCAUCGAGCGGCAGGCGCAUCACCGGCCCGUCCCAUGGCGUAGAAGCAGCCUCGUGCUAGCUCACCGCCGGGGCGGAGCAUGAGCGUACAUGUUGAGACCCGAAAGAUGGUGAACUAUGCUUGCGCAGGUUGAAGCCAGAGGAAACUCUGGUGGAGGACCGCAGCGAUUCUGACGUGCAAAUCGAUCGUCAAACGUGAGUAUAGGGGCGAAAGACUAAUCGAACCAUCUAGUAGCUGGUUCCCUCCGAAGUUUCCC